UGGACACCCAUUUACAAUACACCACAUUCCAUCAUUUCACAAACACUAGCCCAUCGCCCAUCAUCCGUCUCGUGUUCUUGAGAGAAAGAGACCACAAACCCUAAAGAGGGGCGCCUUCCGCUUGAAUUCAUCAGUGACUGCGAUUCGAGUUCAGUAGGUCCAAAAAGAGAGGCGCCUCGCGUUCUUGAGACUGCGAUUCCGGACUUCCAGCUGUAAUCCAACUUCUCUCUGGGCUCUCUUUCUCUGGUGUGCGAUUGUGAUUCCAGACUUCCAACUGCAAUCCAACUUCUCUCUAGUAGAUUUUUUUUCUGUGAUGAUUAUUAUUAUUUUUUUUCUGGAUCAUGUGAUUUUUUUCAGUAAAUGUUGCUUUUAUUUGAAUUUUUUUUUAAAAAAAACAUAUAGAAAUUUGGAAGUGUGGAUGGGAAAUUUAUAUCUAUAGUUUAUGUGAUGAAAGUUAUGUUGUUUUUAUUUGAAUUUUUUUUUUAAAAAAAAACAUAUAGAAAUUUGGAAGUGUGGAUGGGAAAUUUAUAUCUAUAGUUUAUGUGAUGAAAGUUAUGUCUCUGCUAUGUAGUGCAUUUGUGAGUGCUGCCACAGUUUCUCUUGUAUUUUUUCCUCCUUUUUUUUUUUUUAUCAAUAUACAUAUAUUUAUCCUUGCCAAAAAAUUUAAAAUAAAAUAAUGUCAAAAAUAAAAUUUGUUUAUUUUUUCUAUUCUUUCCAAUACUCCACCUAAACAAAACUAAUAUGGAUAGUGGCUUCUCUUUAGUAAUUGACAUACAUCAUUAUAAUCUCUCCAAAAAAAAUUUAUGGGCUUGUCUAGUUCGAUUUUUUAAGUCUUAGUUUUCAAGAAAUUGAAAAUUAGAAAACAUUACAAAAAAUUGUUUCAUAGACAAUUUUCUAAGAACAAUUAAAAAAAAAAAAAAAAAAAAAAAAA